rnacentral:rRNA from 1 species
UACGAAGGGAUCUAGCGUUGUUCGGAUUUACUGGGCGUAAAGGGCGCGUAGGCGGUUAUGUAAGUAAGAUGUGAAAGCCCUGGGCUUAACCCGGGAACUGCAUUUUAAACUGCAUAGCUUGAGUGUUGGAGAGGUAAGUAGAAUUCCGAGUGUAGAGGUGAAAUUCGUAGAUAUUCGGAAGAACACCAGUGGCGAAGGCGACUGACUGGACAAGUAUUGACGCUGAGGUGCGAAAGCGUGGGGAGCAAACAGGAUUAGAUACCCCAGUGU